rnacentral:pre_miRNA from 1 species
CUUAUACUCCCUCCGUCCCGAAAUACUUGUCCUAGAAAUAGAUGUAUCUAGACUUAUUUUAAUUAUAGAUACAUUCAUUUUAUACAAUUUUUAGGACAAGUAUUUCCGGACGGAGGGAGUAUUUA